rnacentral:rRNA from 1 species
GAUGAACGCUAGCGACAGGCUUAACACAUGCAAGUCGAGGGGCAUCAUGAGGUAGCAAUACCUUGAUGGCGACCGGCGCACGGGUGAGUAACGCGUAUGCAACCUGCCCGAUACCGGGGUAUAGCCCAUGGAAACGUGGAUUAACACCCCAUAGUACUUUUAUCCUGCAUGGGAUGUGAGUUAAAUGUUCAAGGUAUCGGAUGGGCAUGCGUCCUAUUAGUUAGUUGGCGGGGUAACAGCCCACCAAGACGAUGAUAGGUAGGGGUUCUGAGAGGAAGGUCCCCCACAUUGGAACUGAGACACGGUCCAAACUCCUACGGGAGGCAGCAGUGAGGAAUAUUGGUCAAUGGGCGGAAGCCUGAACCAGCCAUGCCGCGUGCGGGAUGAAGGCCCUACGGGUUGUAAACCGCUUUUCCCCGGGAAGAAUAACCCCGAUGAGUCGGGGGAUGCCGGUACCGGGGAAUAAGGAUCGGCUAACUCCGUG